AGUGACCUGCGGAGGAUCAUUACUGAAAAACUAUUUUUAAGUUUUUUAUAUCCCAUUGUUUACCUACUCUGUUGCUUCCACUGGACAGGUUUUCACCCUUUGGCUUAUGUGAAAAACAUCUGCCAAAGAGUUGCCAGUGGUAAGACCAUUUACCAAAACUUGAUUUACUGAAAAACACAAUGUCUGACUGUUUUCCUUUAAUGAAAUAAAACUUUCAACAACGGAUCUCUAGGCUCUUGCAUCGAUGAAGAACGCAGUGAAAUGCGAUAAGUAAUGUGAAUUGCAGAAUUCUCGUGAAUCAUUGAAUCUUUGAACGCACAUUGCGCCCUUUGGCAUUCCAUAGGGCAUGCCUGUCUGAGCGUCAGCUCCCCCCUCACUCAAGUAUCCUUUUUCUUUUAUAAAAUGUUGAUAUUUGGAUUGCUUUGGAGAGGUAACUUAUGUAUUAAGUUGCCCUCCAGAAAUUCAUAGGCAGUAUGGUUUGUACUUAAACCAGACGUAAUAAUAAUAAAAUCGUUUUGUUUGGGUAUAUAAUUAAUUGUACUUGCCUUAAGCCCACCCAUUUUUAUUUUGGGUGACCUCAGAUCAGGUAGGGAUACCCGCUGAACUUAAGCAUAUCAAUAAGCCGGGAGGAAA
rnacentral:rRNA from 1 species